rnacentral:rRNA from 1 species
GAUGAACGCUGGCGGCGUGCUUAACACAUGCAAGUCGAACGAUGAAGCCCAGCUUGCUGGGUGGAUUAGUGGCGAACGGGUGAGUAACACGUGAGUAACCUGCCCUUAACUCUGGGAUAAGCCUGGGAAACUGGGUCUAAUACCGGAUAGGAGCGCCUACCGCAUGGUGGGUGUUGGAAAGAUUUAUCGGUUUUGGAUGGACUCGCGGCCUAUCAGCUUGUUGGUGAGGUAAUGGCUCACCAAGGCGACGACGGGUAGCCGGCCUGAGAGGGUGACCGGCCACACUGGGACUGAGACACGGCCCAGACUCCUACGGGAGGCAACAGUGGGGAAUAUUGCACAAUGGGCGAAAGCCUGAUGCAGCGACGCCGCGUGAGGGAUGACGGCCUUCGGGUUGUAAACCUCUUUCAGUAGGGAAGAAGCGAAAGUGACGGUACCUGCAGAAGAAGCACCGGCUAACUACGUG